AUUGAACGCUGGCGGCAUGCCUUACACAUGCAAGUCGAACGGUAACAGGUCUUCGGAUGCUGACGAGUGGCGAACGGGUGAGUAAUACAUCGGAACGUGCCCGAUCGUGGGGGAUAACGGAGCGAAAGCUUUGCUAAUACCGCAUACGAUCUACGGAUGAAAGCAGGGGACCGCAAGGCCUUGCGCGGACGGAGCGGCCGAUGGCAGAUUAGGUAGUUGGUGGGAUAAAAGCUUACCAAGCCGACGAUCUGUAGCUGGUCUGAGAGGACGACCAGCCACACUGGGACUGAGACACGGCCCAGACUCCUACGGGAGGCAGCAGUGGGGAAUUUUGGACAAUGGGCGCAAGCCUGAUCCAGCCAUGCCGCGUGCAGGAUGAAGGCCUUCGGGUUGGUAACUAGCUUUGUUACGGUAACGAAAGAACUCUUCUUAAUAAAGAAGGUCCGACUGACGGUACCGUAACGAAUAAAGACACCGGCUAACUAACGUGCCAGCAGCCGCGGU
rnacentral:rRNA from 1 species